rnacentral:tRNA from 1 species
GCCUCGGUGGCCUAGUCUGGUUGGGCAUUGCCUUGGUAAGGCAGAGGUCGCGGGUUCAAAGCCCGCCCGAGGCUCCA